GCCCGCGUGGCGAAACGGCAGACGCUACGGACUUAAAAUCCGUUUCCGGCAACGGAGUGGGGGUUCGAGUCCCCCCGCGGGCACCA
rnacentral:tRNA from 2 species